GGAGUUGUGGCUCACAGGCAGAGCGUUCACCUGCCAUGUGUGGGGCACUGGGUUCAAUUCCCAGCACCA
rnacentral:tRNA from 1 species